rnacentral:rRNA from 1 species
GGGCGUAAGAGCUCGUAGGUCGUUUGUCGCGUCGAUUGUGAAAAUCUGAGGCCCAACCUCAGACCUGCAGUCGAUACGGGCAAACUAGAGUGUGGUAGGGGAGACUGGAAUUCCUGGUGUAGCGGUGGAAUGCGCAGAUAUCAGGAGGAACACCAAUGGCGAAGGCAGGUCUCUGGGCCAUAACUGACACUGAGGAGCGAAAGUGCGGGGAGCGAACAGGAUUAGAUACCCUGGUAGUCCGCACCGUAAACGGUGGGCACUAGUUGUGGGAACCUUCCACGGUUUCCGCGACGCAGCAAACGCAUUAAGUGCCCCGCCUGGGGAGUACGAUCGCAAGAUUAAAACUCAAAGGAAUUGACGGGGCCCCGCACAAGCAGCGGAGCAUGCGGCUUAAUUCGACGCAACGCGAAGAACCUUACCAAGGCUUGACAUAUAGCGAAAAGUGGCAGAGAUGUCAUGUCCGCAAGGGCGCUAUACAGGUGGUGCAUGGUUGUCGUCAGCUCGUGUCGUGAGAUGUUGGGUUAAGUCCCGCAACGAGCGCAACCCUCGUUCUGUGUUACCAGCAUUCAGUUGGGGACUCACAGGAGACUGCCGGGGUCAACUCGGAGGAAGGUAAU